rnacentral:rRNA from 1 species
GACGAACGCUGGCGACGCGCUUAACACAUGCAAGUCGAACGGAAAGGCCUGCUUUCCCUUGUGGAUUGCGGGUACUCGAGUGGCGAACGGGUGAGUAACACGUGAGUGAUCUGCCCCCAACUUGGGUAUAAGCCUGGGAAACUGGGUCUAAUUCCCGAUAGGACUGCAGGGUGGUGCCUGUGGUGGAAAACGAUUUUCUAGUGGUUGGGGAUGAGCUCGCGGCCUAUCAGCUUGUUGGUGGGGUAAUGGCCUACCAAGGCGGCGACGGGUAGCCGGCCUGAGAGGGUGGACGGCCGCAUUGGGACUGAGAUACGGCCCAGACUCCUACGGGAGGCAGCAGUGGGGAAUAUUGCACAAUGGGCGGAAGCCUGAUGCAGCGACGCCGCGUGGGGGAUGACGGCCUUCGGGUUGUAAACUCCUUUCGACCGCGAGGAAGCCACCUGGUUGGAAGGGUGGUGACGGUAGUGGUAGAAGAAGCACCGGCUAACUACGUG